rnacentral:rRNA from 1 species
GACGAACGCUGGCGGCGUGCCUAAUACAUGCAAGUUGAGCGCUGAAGGUUGGUACUUGUACCAACUGGAUGAGCAGCGAACGGGUGAGUAACGCGUGGGGAAUCUGCCUUUGAGCGGGGGACAACAUUUGGAAACGAAUGCUAAUACCGCAUAAAAACUUUAAACACAAGUUUUAAGUUUGAAAGAUGCAAUUGCAUCACUCAAAGAUGAUCCCGCGUUGUAUUAGCUAGUUGGUGAGGUAAAGGCUCACCAAGGCGAUGAUACAUAGCCGACCUGAGAGGGUGAUCGGCCACAUUGGGACUGAGACACGGCCCAAACUCCUACGGGAGGCAGCAGUAGGGAAUCUUCGGCAAUGGACGAAAGUCUGACCGAGCAACGCCGCGUGAGUGAAGAAGGUUUUCGGAUCGUAAAACUCUGUUGGUAGAGAAGAACGUUGGUGAGAGUGGAAAGCUCAUCAAGUGACGGUAACUACCCAGAAAGGGACAGCUAACUACGUG